GCCCGGGUGGUCUAGUGGUAUGAUUCUCGCUUAGGGUUCACCCUAUGCAAAUGCAAGUAUGCGAGAGGGCCCGCGUUCGAUCCGCGGCUCGGGCC